rnacentral:rRNA from 1 species
UGAGUGCGAGCUGCUACGGCAGCGAAGUUGGUGAUGUCAUGCUUCCAAGAAAAGCCCUAUACCCGUUAAGGCAUCAUGGCCUGUACCCGAAACCGACACAGGUGGGGUGGUAGAGAAUACCGAGGGGCGCGAGGUAACUCUCUCUAAGGAACUCGGCAAAAUGGCCCCGUAACUUCGGGAGAAGGGGUGCCACCGCAAGGUGGUCGCAGUGAAGAGGCCCAGGCGACUGUUUACCAAAAACACAGGUCUCCGCUAAGUCGCAAGACGAUGUAUGGGGGCUGACGCCUGCCCAGUGCCGGAAGGUUAAGGAAGCUGGUCAGCGCAAGCGAAGCUAGCGACUGAAGCCCCGGUGAACGGCGGCCGUAACGAUAACGGUCCUAAGGUAGCGAAAUUCCUUGUCGGGUAAGUUCCGACCCGCACGAAAGGCGUAACGAUCUGGGCGCUGUCUCGGAGAGAGGCUCGGCGAAAUAGAAUUGUCUGUGAAGAUGCGGACUACGUGCACCCGGACAGAAAGACCCUAUGAAGCUUUACUGUAGCUUGGUAUUGUGCCCGGGCUCGCAAUGCGCAGGAUAGGUGGGAGGCUUUGAUCAUCGGCUUGCGGGUCGAUGUGAGCCAACGGUGAGAUACCACUCUUUGCGAGCUAGGGUUCUAACGGCCACCCGUCAUCCGGGGGCCGGACAGUACCUGGUGGGCAGUUUGACUGGGGCGGUCGCCUCCUAAAAGGUAACGGAGGCGCGCAAAGGUUUGCUCAGGCUGGUUGGAAAUCAGCCGACGAGUGUAAAAGCAGAAGCAAGCUUGACUGUGAGACCAACAAGUCGAACAGGGAGGAAACUCGGCUUUAGUGAUCCGACGGUCUGAGUGGAAGGGCCGUCGCUCAACGGAUAAAAGUUACUCUAGGAUAACAGGCUGAUCUCCCCCAAGAGUUCACAUCGACGGGGAGGUUUGGCACCUCGAUGUCGGCUCAUCGCAACCUGGGGCUGAAGUCGGUCCCAAGGGUUGGGCUGUUCGCCCAUUAAACGGUACGCGAGCUGGGUUCAGAACGUCGUGAGACAGUUCGGUCCAUAUCCGGUGCACGCGCAGGAAUAUUGAGAGGAUCUCUCCCUAGUACGAGAGGACCGGGAGGAACGCACCUCUGGUGUACCAGUUAUCGUGCCAACGGUAAACGCUGGGUAGCCAUGUGCGGAGUGGAUAACCGCUGAAAGCAUCUAAGUGGGAAGCCCACCUCAAGAUGAGUAUUCCCAUGGCGUAAGCCAGUAAGGUCACGGGAAGAACACCCGUUGAUAGGCUCUAUGUGGAAGCGCAGUAAUGCGUGAAGCAGAGGAGUACUAAUAGACCGAGGGCUU